ACUUGAAUAGCUUAAUUGAGAGCAUAGUAUUGAAGAUACUAAGGUGAUUAUAAAUCUUUAGGUA
rnacentral:tRNA from 1 species